AAACCCGCUGUUCGGUCUGGUCUUUGGUCGCGCUUUCAGUUAGUCAAACGAAAUUUUCGCCUAAACUUUUGAAUACAAUUAUUUUUACGUUACCAAGGCAUUUUGUAGUUCACAAGAUAUAAAUCAACAUUUUAACUAUUCACGCUGUCAAGCUUUUUUUUGCAAAACUUAACAAACUCAAUUUUGUCAAACGCGGGUUUUUAUUAUCCGUCUUAGCUUAGUUUAAAAUCAAACCGGUAAACUAAUUGCUUUGAAAUAGUAAAAAAUAAUAAAUAACAUGUUUGUUGAUGCAGUAUACUUUGUCACUCCAAUUUGAUUAAUUAUCAAAAAAUGCAGUAAUUACGCAAAUAUUUCAGUGAAAUUUGGCAGUUUUUCAACAUCUAUAAUUACACAAUGGAAGAUCGAGUAAACGAAAACUUGCUGAGGAAUUGCACAAUGAUGGUACUCUCAAUAGAAUUUGGUCAGUCGACUUCAGAACUCGAGUCGUCAAAUUCUUCCACACUUUUGGGUAUCUUAGGAACCACAUUAAACACUGCUGAAUUGACUAUGCCUAAACGAACAAUGGCUAAGGAUCGACUACAUGAUUGUAUAUAUCCUAUUUCAGAACCAUCACAUAGUUUUAGCUGGUGGCAUAAGCUUACAUGGAUAACGCUUUUUAUAGCUAUGUUAACCGUAGCUAUUUUAGGAAACUUGAUAGUCAUAUGGAUCGUUGCAGCUCAUCGACGAAUGCGAACUGUUACCAACUGUUACAUGGUCAGCUUGAGUGUUUCAGAUUUAUUCAUGGCAUCACUAAACUGUCUACCAAAUUUCAUUUAUAUGCUCAACUCCGACUGGCCGUUUGGACUGGAACUUUGUAUAGCGUCAAAUUUUAUAGCCUACUGGACUGUCGCAUCUUCGGUGUUUACACUCGUAUCUAUCACACUUAAUAGAUAUAUGGCUAUUGUUCAUCCAUUAAGACAUAGGAGAUCUCGUACGAGAACCCAAACAGUUCUCAUUCUUAUCUGGGCUAUCAGCAUAUUUUUGGCGAUUCCAUGUUUCCUGUAUUCAAAUAUAAAAACAAAAAGAUAUACAAAUGGAGAACUUAGAAGAGCUUGUUAUAUGCUCUGGCCAGAUGGCAGAUAUCCACAUUCAAAAACUGAAUACAUAUACAACAUUUUGUUCUUAUUUGUUACUUACAUUAUACCACUCGUAGUGAUGUUUGUGUGCUACACGAUAAUGGGCAAAGAACUUUGGGGUAGCAAAAGUAUAGGACAAAUGACUGAAAGACAUGAAGAAUCUAUAAAAUCAAAAAGAAAAGUAGUUAGAAUGUUUGCUGUUGUCGUCGCUAUAUUUAUAAUCUGUUGGUUGCCUUAUCACUUUUAUUUUGUAUACGCUUACCACAACAAAGAUAUCGUUAGUAAAGCCUAUGUACAAGAUUUGUUUUUGGCAUUUUACUGGCUUGCAAUGUCUAACUCCAUGGUGAACCCAAUAAUUUACUAUUGGAUGAAUCCCCGGUUCAGGACUUACUUUAAAGCUGUUUUAUGUUUUUGUACCUGUCUCAGAAAAUCUGAAAGAAAUUCUAAUGACUUGAAUGUUAUUAGAGUGAAUGGUGAUUCAUCCCAUUACUUUUUGACUAGAUCUAAAUCAGUAGAACGAUUCACCAGGUCCAGCAUCAUUGGGAGUCCAACGCUUACGACAACCACAAGAAGUUCAAGUAUUAUGUCUUGUCGGAGAAUUCAACGAAGUAGCACAUCAACCGAAGAUGCUAAAUCUUCAAUGUAAAAAUCACACAGAAAUAGGAGUACUUGAAUCAGAUAAUGUUAAUUAUAAAAGCUGUAAUUACAAUCAAUUGCAAAAUACCAAAAGUCAUUCGACGACAAUGCUUAUAUUAUCUUCGACUGUAUUAUGAAUGCGGCUUAAUAAGAAAAUUAAUGAUAAUAAGGCAUUGA